CCUACGGGUGGCUGCAGUCGAGAAUCAUUCACAAUGGGGGAAACCCUGAUGGUGCGACGCCGCGUGGGGGAAUGAAGGUCUUCGGAUUGUAAACCCCUGUCAUGUGGGAGCAAAUUAAAAAGAUAGUACCACAAGAGGAAGAGACGGCUAACUCUGUGCCAGCAGCCGCGGUAAUACAGAGGUCUCAAGCGUUGUUCGGAAUCACUGGGCGUAAAGCGUGCGUAGGCUGUUUCGUAAGUCGUGUGUGAAAGGCGCGGGCUCAACCCGCGGACGGCACAUGAUACUGCGAGACUAGAGUAAGGGAGGGGGAACCGGAAUUCUCGGUGUAGCAGUGAAAUGCGUAGAUAUCGAGAGGAACACUCGUGGCGAAGGCGGGUUCCUGGACAUUAACUGACGCUGAGGCACAAAGGCCAGGGGAGCGAAAGGGAUUAGAUACCCGAGUAGUC
rnacentral:rRNA from 1 species